AUGAUGCCGAGGAUGGAGAUGACAUACCAACCAUUGUCAGAUUCCAGAAUGUGCCAAGGGCACAAAGAUCUUCAGCUGUGCCAAGUAGCAGACACUAGGACUACUCACUCUGCACCUGCCACCACUGCUACAGUGCCACCCCCAGUAUCAACACCACCAGUUCAGCAGACAUUAGCCGAGGCAUUUGCAGAAGGAGUUCUCUCAAUGCCAUCUACACACACCGAGCAACAAGCCAGAAGACCCCUUCAGGAGCUCCUAGAGAUCAGAUGCGGACCCCUCAAAAUGCUAAGGACAAAGAUUGGUGUCGCUUGGGAGCCUCCGUCAUGA
rnacentral:rRNA from 1 species